rnacentral:tRNA from 1 species
GCCGGCGUAGUCCAAUCGGCAGAGACUCGGCGUUUAGGGCGUCGCCAGUGUGGGUUCGAAUCCCACCGCCGGCACCA